UUUCUUUUGUUUUAUAUUUUUAUAUACAUUCUUAGACUGGGUAGAGUUUAAAAAUUGGGUCUACCAACUUCUCAAAUCAGAACUGUAAAGUUCCAAGGCAAGUCGAAGGCAGAUGUAAUAGUUCACAGUGUAGAAGAAUGAAGGUCAGGCCUCUCUGAUGAAGAGAGCACCCUAUUUAUUCAUUAAUGAUCCUUCCGCAGGUUCACCUACGGAAA
rnacentral:misc_RNA from 1 species